rfam:Phlebotomus papatasi Contig47826.1, whole genome shotgun sequence.
AUAGUGAUGAGAUUAAUUGGUCCGUGUUUAUGAAUUCAUUUGAUUUUAACCCCAAUUGCUGAUUUUU